UGAGGAAUAUUGGUCAAUGGGCGAGAGCCUGAACCAGCCAAGUAGCGUGAAGGAUGACUGCCCUAUGGGUUGUAAACUUCUUUUAUAAAGGAAUAAAGUCGGGUAUGCAUACCCGUUUGCAUGUACUUUAUGAAUAAGGAUCGGCUAACUCCGUG
rnacentral:rRNA from 1 species